AUCCUCCCCCGUGCACUCCCCACAGCCGCCAGCUGCACGGGUGGGUGCGCUCAGCCUGGGAGGCCAGGGGCUGGGUCACUCAGCCUCUCUUUCUCUUCAAACACUAAGGUUGACUCUGAGGAGAUUGAAGUCAGUCCCCGCCCAGCUUCCAGCCGCCUGGAGGGCUCACCUGCUAGCCGCCAGUCCCGGACUGUUCCUUAAAGAUGUGCAGCCGAGAAUGUUGUGGAGACAUAUCUGCGCUGCUGGUUGCCUGCCGGUCACGCAGGACUGACGCGGGAAAGCGCUGCCCGGGUGGUGAGCAAGGCUGCCGGGGGCACACGGGGAUGCUGGCUCAGUGGGGUGGGAAGCCAUGUCUUUGAGUUUCCCAGGUGCUAUUAGAAUGCUGUUUUCAGGGUUUCAGUCAGCUUUUAAUGAUAAUAGUUAAUUGUAACUUUGCGUAACCAACUAAAAAC